AUGAACAACGCUCCUCCUCGUGCCCGUAUACGGCUGAUGACGUAUGCAAAGCCUUGUUUGAUGUUGGGGACCUUAAAGCCCCCGGGGCCGGAUGGGCUGCACACUAUUUUCUAUAAAAGGUUUUGGCCGGUGUUAGGAGACGAUCUAAUCGAGGAGAUUUUGCAAGUGGAGAAUACAUGUACUAUUCCAUUUGGCUAG
rnacentral:rRNA from 1 species